rnacentral:rRNA from 1 species
UACGUAGGAGGCGAGCGUUGUCCGGAGUUACUGGGCGUAAAGGGUGCGCAGGCGGCCUGCCGCGUGGGGGGUGAAAUCGCCCGGCUCAACCGGGCGGGUGCUUUCCAGACGGGCAGGCUUGAGGGACGGAGAGGGGCGCGGAAUUCCGGGUGGAGCGGUGAAAUGCGUAGAGAUCCGGAAGAACACCGACGGCGAAGGCAGCGCCCUGGACGUCAACUGACGCUCAUGCACGAAAGCGCGGGGAGCGAACAGG